rnacentral:lncRNA from 1 species
ACUCAGAGAUGCUUUACUCCGGCGCACACCUAACUAAAUUGUCCUGUAAGGACGAUAGCUGUGAGUAGGCCUUGCACCUGUGGAACCAAGGAAACGUCUGCUGAAUUCAGAAAUUCAGAAGCUGCAUCCUGCCCUCUGGGAGGAGGAACUGUACCUUAGGGGGUGCACACCUUGGAGAAAGCACACACCUCCAGUUUGUUGGACAGCAGCAUCAAAAAACCAACCAACCAACCAACAUCUUAAAAACAUAUUUAUUUAUUUUAUGGAGGCAUCCUCUGAUAAAGAAUGCUAAGACCUUACCAAAGAUUUCACAGGGACACAGAAGACAAGCAGGGAAUGAAGAUCCAGCCUGCUGCCAUCUUAGGCUCAAAAGCCAUCUUAUCAUAAAGACAAAGAAGGUCCAUUCCUAUUUAAUGAUUAAACUUCUGUUUUUC